GGAUUUAGUUCAGUGGUAGAGCGCUUGCCUAGGAAGCACAAGGCCCUGGGUUCGGUUCCCAGGUCCA
rnacentral:tRNA from 1 species